rnacentral:rRNA from 1 species
AGGGAAUCUUCCACAAUGGACGCAAGUCUGAUGGAGCAACGCCGCGUGAGUGAAGAAGGUUUUCGGACCGUAAAGCUCUGUUGUUGGUGAAGAAGGAUAGAGGUAGUAACUGGCCUUUAUUUGACGGUAAUCAACCAGAAAGUCACGGCUAACUACGUGCCAGCAGCCGCGGUAAUACGUAGGUGGCAAGCGUUGUCCGGAUUAUUGGGCGUAAAGCGAGCGCAGGCGGAAGAAUAAGUCUGAUGUGAAAGCCCUCGGCUUAACCGAGGAAUUGCAUCGGAAACUGUUUUCUUGAGUGCAGAAGAGGAGAGUAGAACUCCAUGUGUAGCGGUGGAAUGCGUAGAUAUAUGGAAGAAUACCAGUGGCGAAGGCGGCUCUCUGGUCUGCAAACUGACGCUGAGGCUCGAAAAGCAUGGGUAGCGAACAGGAUUAGAUACCCUGGUAGUCCAUGCCGUAAAACGAUGAGUGCUAAGUGUUGGGAGGCUUCCGCCUCUCAGUGCUGCAGCUAACGCAUUAAGCACUCCGCCUGGGGGAGUACGACCGC